rnacentral:rRNA from 1 species
GAUCCUGGCUCAGAUUGAACGCUGGCGGCAGGCUUAACACAUGCAAGUCGAACGGUAACAGGAAGAAAGCUUGCUUUCUCUGCUGACGAGUGGCGGACGGGUGAGUAAUGCUUGGGUAUCUGGCUUAUGGAGGGGGGAUAACUACGGGAAACUGUAGCUAAUACCGCGUAGUAUCGGAAGAUGAAAGUGUGGGACCGUAAGGCCACAUGCCAUAGGAUGAGCCCAAGUGGGAUUAGGUAGUUGGUG